rnacentral:misc_RNA from 1 species
AAGACUAUAGACCUGCGGAGUACCUGCGGAAGGAUCAUUACAGAGUUCAUGCCCUCGCGGGUAGAUCUCCCACCCUUGAAUACCUCUAUCUUUGUUGCUUUGGCGGGCCGCUUCGGCUACCGGCUCUCGCUGGUAAGCGCCCGCCAGAGGACCCCUAAACUCUGAAUGUUAGUGUCGUCUGAGUCCUAUAUAAUAGCUAAAACUUUUAACAACGGAUCUCU